rnacentral:rRNA from 1 species
GACGAACGCUGGCGGCGUGCUUAACACAUGCAAGUCGAACGGAAAGGCCCUGCUUUUGUGGGGUGCUCGAGUGGCGAACGGGUGAGUAACACGUGAGUAACCUGCCCUUGACUUUGGGAUAACUUCAGGAAACUGGGGCUAAUACCGGAUAGGAGCUCCUGCUGCAUGGUGGGGGUUGGAAAGUUUCGGCGGUUGGGGAUGGACUCGCGGCUUAUCAGCUUGUUGGUGGGGUAGUGGCUUACCAAGGCUUUGACGGGUAGCCGGCCUGAGAGGGUGACCGGCCACACUGGGACUGAGAUACGGCCCAGACUCGUACGGGAGGCAGCAGUGGGGAAUAUUGCACAAUGGGCGGAAGCCUGAUGUAGCAACGCCGCGUGCGGGAUGACGGCCUUCGGGUUGUAAACCGAUUUCGCCUGUGACGAAGCGUGAGUGACGGUAAUGGGUAAAGAAGCACCGGCUAACUACGUG